rnacentral:other from 1 species
GAGGCCCUGCAGAGUUCGUGAUGCACGAUCUAGCACUUGAACCGUACUUCUUAUCUCGGGUAGCUCGCGUCUCGGGUCGCGUGCACGCCUUCGUCCCGCAGUGGGACCUCAGAAGGUAGCCAAAACGGCACGAGUAGGGCGCCCACCUGUCAUGUACAGGUUCAGGUAAGAAUCCUCCACACGGCUCAGGCGGGGUACUC